GUGCCAGCCGCCGCGGUAAUACGUAGGGUGCGAGCGUUAAUCGGAAUUACUGGGCGUAAAGCGUGCGUAGGCGGUUCUGGAAGUCAGCUGUGAAAGCCCCGGGCUUAACCUGGGAAUGGCGGUUGAAACUCCAGGACUAGAAUCUGGCAGAGGGGGGUGGAAUUCCACGUGUAGCAGUGAAAUGCGUAGAGAUGUGGAGGAACACCGAUGGCGAAGGCAGCCCCCUGGGCUGAGAUUGACGCUCAGGCACGAAAGCGUGGGGAGCAAACAGGAUUAGAUACCCGCGUAGUCC
rnacentral:rRNA from 1 species